CCGUUCUUACUUAAAGGGUAUUUUGGUCUUUUUACAGAUUUUCGCCAAACCGCUCUGAUACCAAUUGUUGGGAUUGCGAAAUCCCGUGUCCAACUCUAUCUUAUCUUAUUAGUACGAUAUUGUCCACUUUGGGCCUUAGAGGCUGACCCGCAUGGAUUUACUUUUGGUUUCCUUCCCAAAAGGUCUCGUACUAUUAGAGUU
rnacentral:lncRNA from 1 species